rnacentral:rRNA from 1 species
UACGGAGGGGGCUAGCGUUGUUCGGAAUUACUGGGCGUAAAGCGCACGUAGGCGGCGAUUUAAGUCAGAGGUGAAAGCCCGGGGCUCAACCCCGGAACUGCCUUUGAGACUGGAUUGCUUGAAUCCGGGAGAGGUGAGUGGAAUUCCAGGUGUAGCGGUGAAAUGCGUAGAUAUCUGGAGGAACACCGGUGGCGAAGGCGGCAUCCUGGACCAACACUGACGCUGAGGAGCGAAAGCCAGGGGAGCAAACGGG